rnacentral:rRNA from 1 species
ACUCCUACGGGAGGCAGCAGUAGGGAAUAUUGGGCAAUGGGCGCAAGCCUGAUCCAGCCAUGCCGCGUGCAGGAAGACGGUCCUAUGGAUUGUAAACUGCUUUUAUACAGGAAGAAACACCUCUACGUGUAGAGACUUGACGGUACUGUAUGAAUAAGCAUCGGCUAACUCCGUGCCAGCAGCCGCGGUAAU